rnacentral:rRNA from 1 species
AUUGAACGCUGGCGGCAUGCUUUACACAUGCAAGUCGAACGGUAACAGGCCGCAAGGUGCUGACGAGUGGCGAACGGGUGAGUAAUGCAUCGGAACGUGCCCAGUCGUGGGGGAUAACGCAGCGAAAGCUGCGCUAAUACCGCAUACGAUCUGUGGAUGAAAGCGGGGGACCGAAAGGCCUCGCGCGAUUGGAGCGGCCGAUGUCAGAUUAGGUAGUUGGUGGGGUAAAGGCCCACCAAGCCAACGAUCUGUAGCUGGUCUGAGAGGACGACCAGCCACACUGGGACUGAGACACGGCCCAGACUCCUACGGGAGGCAGCAGUGGGGAAUGUUGGACAAUGGGCGCAAGCCUGAUCCAGCAAUGCCGCGUGCAGGAAGAAGGCCUUCGGGUUGUAAACUGCUUUUGUACGGAGCGAAACGGCUCUGGUUAAUACCUGGGGCUAAUGACGGUACCGUAAGAAUAAGCACCGGCUAACUACGUGCCAGCAGCCGCGGUAAGAC